rnacentral:rRNA from 1 species
GUGUCAGCCGCCGCGGUAAAACGUAGGAGGCGAGCGUUAUCCGGAUUUACUGGGCGUAAAGCGCGGGCAGGUGGUGUCUUAAGUCAGGCGUGAAAGCUCCCGGCUCAACCGGGAGAGGUCGUGUGAAACUGGGACACUGGAGGGAGCGAGAGGCAGACGGAAUUCCGGGUGGAGUGGUGAAAUGCGUAGAGAUCCGGAGGAACACCAGUGGCGAAGGCGGUCUGCUGGCGCUAACCUGACACUCAGCCGCGAAAGCAUGGGGAGCGAACGGGAUUAGAAACCCUUGUAGUCC